AGAGUUUGAUCCUGGCUCAGAACGAACGCUGGCGGCACGCCUAACACAUGCAAGUCGAGCGCCCAGCAAUGGGAGCGGCGGACGGGUGAGUAACACGUGGGAACAUGCCUUUCGGUACGGAACAACUCAGGGAAACUUGAGCUAAUGCCGUAUACGCCCUUACGGGGAAAGAUUUAUCGCCGAAAGAUUGGCCCGCGUCUGAUUAGCUUGUUGGUGAGGUAACGGCUCACCAAGGCUUCGAUCAGUAGCUGGUUUGAGAGAACGACCAGCCACACUGGGACUGAGACACGGCCCAGACUCCUACGGGAGGCAGCAGUGGGGAAUCUUGGACAAUGGGGGAAACCCUGAUCCAGCGAUGCCGCGUGAGUGAUGAAGGCCUUCGGGUUGUAAAACUCUUUC
rnacentral:rRNA from 1 species